CUGCAGACCAACUUACGUCACCCUGCGCACCUAUACCGAGCACCAGUCCUACCUGUUGUGUGGCGGUCAUCAGGAUGCACGUUAGAGAGCCGGCAAAACUACCACUCUACCAUGUCGACCAACAGAACCUCCGUUGCUAAGACGAGAGUGUCAGCGCCCAGUACCCCUAGACUGGAACAGAACAUGGGGCCGGAACCAGGUCUCAAGAUAAUAAUGGACACGAAGCUAAAUGGCCUCAAGAGAGUUUAUUUUAUCUUC
rnacentral:misc_RNA from 1 species